CCCCUAGAUGUUCUGGGCCGCACGCGCGCUACACUGAACAGUUCAACAAGUCUUAACCUUGGCCGAUAGGUCUGGGUAAUCUUUGAACGCUGUUCGUGAUUGGGAUAGACCUUUGCAAUUAUGGGUCUUCAACGAGGAAUUCCUAGUAAACGCAAGUCAUCAGCUUGCAUUGAUUACGUCCCUGCCCUUUGUACACACCGCCCGUCGCUACUACCGAUUGAAUGAUUUAGUGAGGACUUCGGACUGGGACCGAUGCGGCUUUCGGGCUGCGUCGGUAUUCUGGAAAGAUGUCCAAACUGUAUCAUUUAGAGGAAGUAAAANUCGUAACA
rnacentral:rRNA from 1 species